rnacentral:rRNA from 1 species
GUAGGGAAUAUUGGGCAAUGGAAGGAAUUCUGACCCAGCCAUGCCGCGUGCAGGAAUACAGUCCUAUGGACUUUAAACUGCUUUUAUUAUAGAGUAACCUGGGGGACGUGUCCCCCACUGCAAGUAUAUAAUGAAUAAGCAUCGGCUAACUCCGUGCCAGCAGCCGCGGUAAUACGGGGGAUGCAAGCGUUAUCCGGAUUUAUUGGGUUUAAAGGGUGCGCAGGCUGAUCGGUAAGUCAUGGGUGAAAAGUCACUGCUUAACAGUGAUCGUGCCUAUGAUACUGCCGGACUAGAGUUUAAGAGGUGUAACUGGAAUGUGAUGUGUAGCGGUGAAAUGCUUAGAUAUGUCACAGAACGCCAAUCGUGAAGACAGGUUACAAACUUAAUACUGACGCUCAUGCACGAAAGCGUGGGGAUCAAACAGGAUUAGAUACCCCGGUAGUCC